CUUUUCGCACCGGUUCUAACCAAACCGGUGCGAAAAGUAAGUAAAUCGCACCGGUUCAGUUCGAACCUGUGCAAAAGCUGUUGUAAAAUAAAAAAAAAAUCGGUUAUUAUCUUCUUUCUUUCUCUUUCAAUUCCUCGAUCUUUCCUCCUCUCUCAUCUGCCUUUCUCUCCUCUCUCUCUCCUCCAUUGAAGCGUACUCGACAUUCUCCAUUGAAGGGGCUUCAACUCGACCCAAUUCAACAGCUUCUACAAUCACCCGAGAUCAGCUCGCUAAAUUCUUAGUACUUUCCUCAAAACCUUGUUGUUCGAUUUACGUUACAAGAUUUUAGGGUUUUUGUUUGGAUUUUUCAAGGGUUUCGUCUGUUAAUAGUGGCGGCACCUUCUUGCAAGCCUUAUUGCAACCUAUGCACCCUUCCUUGGUUUCAUUGUGGAGUUCUUCAGUUGUGCUCCAUCAAUCAAGGGUUUUAUUUGGCGGUGGUGGCAGCAGAUAUUACAGCAGCGGAAGGAAGACUAACUCAGUUUCAAUUGCACAAUUUGUUGAAGACUAAAAUCGUUGGCUUCAUCUUCUUUUGUUGAGUUUUCCUGAGUUAGUGUUCCAUUGUAAAAAGUGGGUUGAGUUUUUUUCCUUUCUAUUGCUUCUUUUACAGUGUUAGGUUUUGCUCUUUCAGGUUCUCGUUGUUCUCUUUAUUCUUGAGUUUGUGUGUUUGUUUAGUGUUAUUGAUGUUAAUUUGAUCAGUUUUGCUGUUGAGAUCAAUGAGCAAUUGCAUCUUUAGUGGAUCAGUUUUCCUUUUCCUUUCUAUUUUAAUCGUGGUGCUGCAAGAUUAGUUGUUGCGCGUGUGGUGUUGUGCGUGUAUUGUUGCGUGUGUGGUGCGCUACAAUUGCGUGUUAUGUGGUGCUCUGUUGUGGGGUGCUGUUGUUGUUAUUGAGUGUGGUUGUUGUUGCAUCUCUAAGUGGACUGAUUCUUCUUAUCCUGUGAGUAUAUAAGAUAUUCUUAUUUUUUAAAUCAUUCUACAGUGUUUUGUAUGUGAUUGGUUACUGUUCAUUUUUAAGAACUGAAAAUUGAUAUCACAUGCUUAGAGUUUGAAGACUCCUCAACUCAAACAUUGUAACUUGUCUGGUUGUUGAUUAAUUUAUUUUUAUUUGAUUGAUUUCUGUGCCUAUAACUUAUGUGCUUAUUUUACGUAAAAACUUCUUUGGAUUUAUUAGAAUUUUCAUAUGAACUCAUGAGGAACAUUUUGUUGUUCCUACCAAGCAUAUAAUCCGUGGUUGGCGAAAUAUUGGUGCCAUGAUUCAAUUUUACCUUCCCCCGAACCCCAAGAGUGGUAGUUGUCUUUUUAGUCUAGUGUUUUUUGCUUUGUGAUUUUGUUAGCUUGAGAAUUGUUUGGGAAUUUAGUAAUCAUCACUUUGUCUUUCCUGUUCUGGAGUCAGAGGUAACAGCCCUGGAACAUCCGUCUUUUCUCCAUUAUUUGCUGCUAAGAUAUUGUUGUUCUAAUUAUUAAUCUUUUGUGAUCAUCUAGGUUUGUUGAUACUGUCAACAACAACCUAAUAAUUCAACAUGUUUCGUUUUUCAAACCUCAGAGAAUUUGUGGAUAUGUGUAAUAUGUGGUUUUGUGGGUUGUGGAAGGAAACGUUUGAUCCAGGUAUAAAGAUGGCAUGUUAUAAUGCAUUGGAAAAAAACACAGCACUAUUACUCCCUGGGCUUGGAAAUUUGGCGUGUUUGGGAUUAUGUUGGCGACAACUAUGUCCACCGUUUAAUACAAUAAAAAAACCGAUGGGAAGUUGGUUGAGCUAAAUGCUCCUUGUUCACAUGCCAUGCAUGGUUGUGGAAGUUGUGAGUGUAAUGGGGAUCCUGAAGUAAAUGAUGCCAUCGUUAAUAGUAAAAUUGAAGUUAUCGUAAAUGAAUACAAUGAGCUUCUUUCCACACAGCUUGAGAAUCAAAAAUUGGAGUAUUGGAUAUUGAUGAUGAACCUAUUUGGCACUUAAAGCUGUCUAGGAUUCUCAUGAAUAGGCUAGUCAUUGGAGAAGGUACAUUGUCUAGAAUCACUUCAUAGUUCAGAUUAUGAAUGAUUGAUUUUUCGUGUCUUAUUAUUCAUCAUUGUCUCCCACCUUUUUUUUUGUUCCUUUAGGUAUUAGCUAAGUAUGCGUAGGGUAGAUUAAUCUGUAUAUUUUAUGAUAUCAAAGUUUGUUCAGUGAAGCAUGUAGGUAGAACUGGCUACUUGUUCAAUACUAGGUACUUAAACAUGUUAAAGUCAAGGAUAGUUGUUGGCUGAUUGAACCUUUUGAUGUUGUUUGCUUUUGUGUUAGUGUAGAAAAUCAUAAGUUGGUUAAUGUUUUUUUAGUUAAUUAAUCGUCAAGCAAUCUGUUUAUUAUUGGAGGAUGACGACUUGAUGAUAGCUUGUAGCUGAAUAGAAUUGGCAUGGAUUACAAAAUAUAUAUUAAGAAUGUGAGCCAAGUUGACUUGCAAACGCGUUUAAUAGCUUUGAAUGGAUGAUAUAACCAUUUGUAAUAUGUAUUGCAGGAGCAUUAGAUUAAGGAUGAAUCUAUUUGACGUUCAACCUGUCUGGGAUUUCUCCUAGCUGGUAGUCACUGGAGAAGGUGUGUUUUCUUGCAACACUUUUUGGCUUUCAAAAUUUCAUAUCUUAAGCUAUUCAUGGUUUGUUCAUUUUGAGUUUCCAUGAUGCCUUUUUUUGUUCGUUACUUUGUGUAUGAGCUGAGUAAGUGUAGGGUAGGUUAACCUGUGUACUUUGUGAUAUUCAAGGUUGUUUAGUGAAACAAUUAGGUAAAACCGGCUGCUUUUUGAAAACUUAAAUGUGUAAAAAGGCAUGUAUAGUUGCUGGUUGACUGUAAGUUUUCAUGAUUUCUGCUUGUGUAUUACUGGAGAAUAUAUAUUUCGUCAGUGCUUUUUAUGUAAAUCGUCAAGCAAUUUGUUGAUAAUGGGAGGAUGAGAACUGGAUGAUAUUAAGCAAGCUGAUUCUCGUAGUCAGUCUCCCCGCAAAUCUGAUGUAGAUGAGUAAAGGUCGUUGCACUCGACUAAUGCUAUGAUCAGAAUGCUUCUAAUGCCAGCUCAGUUUGCCGGAGAGCCUUUUGCAUGUCCAUGUUGUUCAGUGCUUGACUUGAAUUGAAAUGUUUGUUCAAAGUUAGAACUUUCUUAGUUGAAUUCAAUGCUUCUUUUAACUUUUCUUGGUAUGGUCAUGUUGUUUGGCUAUUGAGCUCUAUGAGCAGUUUAUUUGUCAAUAUGUUAAAGAACUUGAGGUGGUUGGAUGGUCUGUUAGUCUUAAAGAUUAUCUUAUGUUAUUUUAUUUUAUAUUUUAUUUUUUUGGACGAAAAUAGUAAUAUUACAGCCUUUUUUAAUG